AGUGCGAGGGCAUAGAGCCCUCGCUUUUGUACACCGUAAGGUGGUGUACGAAUAAGAGCUGGGCAAGACCGGUGCCAGCCGCCGCGGUAAUACCGGCAGCUCGAGUGAUGGCCGAUCUUAUUGGGCCUAAAGCGUCCGUAGCUGGCCUGGCAAGUCCGUCGGGAAAUCCACCCCCUCAACGGGUGGGCGUCCGGCGGAAACUGCGAGGCUUGGGACCGGGAGGCUUGAAGGGUACGUCCGGGGUAGGAGUGAAAUCCCGUAAUCCUGGACGGACCACCGAUGGGGAAACCACUUCAAGAGAACGGAUCCGACAGUGAGGGACGAAAGCUAGGGUCUCGAACCGGAUUAGAUACCCGGGUAGUCCUAGCUGUAAACGAUGCCUGUUAGGUGUGACUCCCACUACGAGUGGGUGUUGUGCCGUAGGGAAGCCGCUAAACAGGCCGCCUGGGAAGUACGUCUGCAAGGAUGAAACUUAAAGGAAUUGGCGGGGGAGCACUACAACCGGAGGAGCCUGCGGUUUAAUUGGACUCAACGCCGGACAUCUCACCAGCAUCGACUGUGGUAAUGACGGUCAGGUUGAUGACCUUGCCCGAGCGACAGAGAGGAGGUGCAUGGCCGCCGUCAGCUCGUACCGUGAGGCGUCCUGUUAAGUCAGGCAACGAGCGAGACCCGCAUCCCUACUUGCCAGCAGCACCGCGAAGUGGCUGGGGACAGUAGGGAGACCGCCGUGGCUAACACGGAGGAAGGAACGGGCAACGGUAGGUCAGUAUGCCCCGAAUAUGNUGGGCAACACGCGGGCUACAAUGGCCGAGACAAUGGGUUCCAAUGCCG
rnacentral:rRNA from 1 species